CGAAAGCCUGACGGAGCAAUACCGCGUGAGGGAAGAAGGCUUUUGGGUUGUAAACCUCUUUUGUCAGGGAAGAAGAAUUGACGGUACCUGAAGAAAAAGCAUCGGCUAACUCCGUGCCAGCAGCCGCGGUAAUACGGAGGAUGCAAGCGUUAUCCGGAAUCAUUGGGCGUAAAGGGUCCGCAGGUGGCGAAUAAAGUCUGCUGUUAAAGACCGGGGCUUAACUCCGGAAAGGCAGUGGAAACUGAUUAGCUAGAGUAAGGUAGGGGUAGAGGGAAUUCCCAGUGUAGCGGUGAAAUGCGUAGAUAUUGGGAAGAACACCGGUGGCGAAAGCGCUCUACUAGGCCGAAACUGACACUGAGGGACGAAAGCUAGGGUAGCGAAAGGGAUUAGAUACCCCUGUAGUCUUAGCGGUAAACGAUGGAUACUAGGUGUAGCUUGUAUCGACCCGAGCUGUGCCGAAGCUAACGCGAUAAGUAUCCCGCCUGGGGAGUACGCACGCAAGUGUGAAACUCAAAGGAAUUGACGGGGGCCCGCACAAGCGGUGGAGUAUGUGGUUUAAUUCGAUGCAACGCGAAGAACCUUACCAGGGCUUGACAUGUCGCGAAUCUAGCGGAAACGUUAGAGUGCCUUAGGGAAUGCGAACACAGGUGGUGCAUGGCUGUCGUCAGCUCGUGUCGUGAGAUGUUGGGUUAAGUCCCGCAACGAGCGCAACCCUCGUCCUUAGUUGCCAAUAUUAAGUUAGGCACUCUAGGGAGACUGCCGGGGACAACUCGGAGGAAGGUGGGGAUGACGUCAAGUCAGCAUGCCCCUUACGUCCUGGGCUACACACGUACUACAAUGGUUGGGACAAAGGGCAGCAAGCUCGCGAGAGUAAGCGAAUCUCAUCAAACCCAGCCACAGUUCAGAUUGCAGGCUGCAACUCGCCUGCAUGGAGUAGGAAUCGCUAGUAAUCGCAGGUCAGCAUACUGCGGUGAAUUCGUUCCCGGGCCUUGUACACACCGCCCGUCACACCAUGGAAGCUGGCUACGCCCGAAGUCGUUACCCUAACCCGGUUUUGGGAGGGGGAUGCCGAAGGUAGAGCUAGUGACUGGGGUGAAGUCGUAACAAGGUAGCCGUACCGGAAGGUGUGGCUGGAUCACCUCCUUU
rnacentral:rRNA from 1 species